AAUCAAGCGCGAAAGGGCAUUUGGUGGAUGCCUU
rnacentral:rRNA from 1 species